UACAGAGGGUGCAAGCGUUGCUCGGAAUUAUUGGGCGUAAAGGGCAGGUAGGUGGUCUCGUUUGUCCGAGGUGAAAGCCCCGAGCUUAACUUGGGAAGUGCCUCGGAAACGGCGAGACUAGAGUCUUGGAGAGGGUCGCGGAAUACCCGGUGUAGCGGUGAAAUGCGUAGAGAUCGGGUGGAAUACCAGAGGCGAAGGCGGCGACCUGGACAAGAGCUGACACUCAACUGCGAAAGCGUGGGGAGCAAACAGG
rnacentral:rRNA from 1 species